CUUUUGCCUGCUACUGCAUUGGGCUGGUUAACAAAAACUGAGCUCCUGUGCACGGAGGCGAGGUUAUAGAGGAGGCGCGCUAGGCAUUCUAGGGAACAGUCAAAGCUUUGAGCCUGUUGGUGCCUCGGAUCAAGAUCCUACUCUACACCCCCAAUGUCAUUCCCUGUGGAGCCCAGUGUACCUCGCAGAAAGAAAUGUAACAACGGUAAGUUUUUACCAUAAAUCUAAUUUUUUCAUUAUUUCUCUGAUUUUGGGUUGCCUUGUUUGUCAGUUUUUAUUUCUCUGACUUGCGUCAUUUUUUUGGGUGUCGUUAAUGUAUUUAUUUUUUUAACACAGCUGUCUUCGAGGGAGCUGGACGUGGAACCUGCAGUGGAGGAGCUGGCAGAGCAAGCCACUGUAAUGCCGGAGCUGGAGGAGAGUGAGGUGGUGAUGGAAACGUGAUGGAAACGCCCCAGCUAGAAAGAGACGCCUGCCGGCUACCCGUGGAAGAUCUAUCCCGUCCAGCAGGCUGUACAAGUUUAUUUCAAACCAUAUGGAUCAUCAAGGAGAAAACAACAAAUGGGACACAAAAACUUAUUUCAUUCCAGACAGUAAAUAGGAUACACAACCCUAAUGAUGAACCAAAUCAAUGGAAAUGAUAUCAGUAGAAGACAAAUGAACUGAAAGCAAAACCUCAGCAAGUAAUAAUAUAAAAUGAAGUUUCAGGAUUUGGUAAUUUCAGUGUAAGCAAGUGAUAAGUGAGAGUCAUCUAGCACUGAUGGGUUUUACUAAGAGAAAUACAGCUACAAAAAGCAUCUACAAAGAAUAAUGAACUUUUAAAGUAAUGAUUUUUUUCCCAAGAAACUGUACAACA